rnacentral:rRNA from 1 species
GACGAACGCUGGCGGCGUGCUUAACACAUGCAAGUCGAACGGAAAGGCCCUGCUUUUGUGGGGUGCUCGAGUGGCGAACGGGUGAGUAACACGUGAGUAACCUGCCCUUGACUUUGGGAUAACUUCAGGAAACUGGGGCUAAUAACGGAUAGGAGCUCCUGCUGCAUGGUGGGGGUUGGAAAGUUUCGGCGGUUGGGGAUGGACUCGCGGCUUAUCAGCUUGUUGGUGGGGUAGUGGCUUACCAAGGCUUUGACGGGUAGCCGGCCUGAGAGGGUGACCGGCCACAUUGGGCCUGAGAUACGGCCCAGACUCCUACGGGAGACAGCAGUGGGGAAUAUUGCACAAUGGGCGGAAGCCUGAUGCAGCAACGCCGCGUGCGGGAUGACGGCCUUCGGGUUGUAAACCGCUUUCGCCUGUGACGAAGCGUGAGUGACGGUAAUGGGUAAAGAAGCACCGGCUAACUACGUG